rnacentral:rRNA from 1 species
AUGACAGUCCUGAGCUGGAACUGUCGGGGGAUUGGCCAACCCCGGACAGUUCAUGAGCUAGUUGGGCUAGUGCAUUCGCUCAAACCCAAACUAGUCUUCCUCUCUGAAACACGGCAAAAGGAUGACUACGUCAAUAAAUUAAGAUGGAGGCUAGGCCUCAAGCACUGUAUCAAGCAUGCCGAUACUGGAAAGAGUGCUGGUAUUGCCCUCUUCUAUGAUGAAAACGUAGAAAUAAAAGAACUUGCCGUUGGCCCGUGGUAUAUUGAUGUGUUGAUCCGUGUGUCUCCU